AGUAAGGCUCCCCAAGGCACGAUCCCUAGCUGGUUUAAGAGGAUGAUCAGCCACACUGGAACUAAGACACGGUCCAGACUCCUACGGAAGCCAGCAGUGGGGAAUAUUGCACAAUGGGCGCAAGCCUGAUGCAGCCAUGCGGCGUGUUUGAAGAAGGCCCUAGGGUUGUAAAGCACUUUCAGCGAGGAGGAAAGGUUAUAGUUUAAUAGACUAUAGCUGUGACGUUACUCGCAGAAGAAGCACCGGCUAACCUUCGUGCCAGCAGCCGCGGUAAUACGAGGGGUGCAAGCGUUAAUCGGAAUUACUGGGCGUAAAGCGUACGCAGGCGGUUUGUUAAGCGAGAUGUGAAAGCCCCGGGCUCAACCUGGGAACUGCAUUUCGAACUGGCAGACUAGAGUAUGAUAGAGGGUGGUAGAAUUUCAGGUGUAGCGGUGAAAUGCGUAGAGAUCUGAAGGAAUACCGAUGGCGAAGGCAGCCACCUGGGUCAAUACUGACGCUCAUGUACGAAAGCGUGGGGAGCAAACGGGAUUAGAUACCCCGGUAGUCCACGCCGUAAACGAUGUCUACUAGGAGCUGGAAUCUUCGGAUGACUUUUCCAAAGCUAACGCAUUAAGUAGNCCGCCUGGGGAGUACGGCCGCAAGGUUAAAACUCCUUUGAA
rnacentral:rRNA from 1 species